rnacentral:rRNA from 1 species
GAACGCUGGCGGCGUGCCUAACACAUGCAAGUCGAACGAGAAAGCGGGCUUCGGCUCGUGAGUAAAGUGGCAGACGGGUGAGUAACACGUGGGCAACCUGCCCGGAGGUGGGGGAUAACCCUUCGAAAGGAGGGCUAAUACCGCAUAACAUCUCGAGCCCCUCGGGGCACGAGAUCAAAGCUGGCCUCUACAUGUAAGCUAGCGCCACCGGAGGGGCCCGCGCCCCAUUAGCUUGUUGGUGAGGUAACGGCUCACCAAGGCCGCGAUGGGUAGCCGGCCUGAGAGGGCGAUCGGCCACACUGGAACUGAGACACGGUCCAGACUCCUACGGGAGGCAGCAGUGAGGAAUUUUGCGCAAUGGGCGAAAGCCUGACGCAGCGACGCCGCGUGGAGGAGGAAGGUCUUCGGAUCGUAAACUCCUGUCGAGCGGGACGAAUGCUGCAGGGAUGAAUAAGCCUUGUAGUUGACGGUACCGCUGGAGGAAGCCCCGGCUAACUCCGUG